rnacentral:lncRNA from 1 species
GCUGGAGUGUUAAGUACAUAUUGAUGGCAUAAUAAUGAGCAGAACAAAGAAAAUUACAAACAAAUACAACUCUAAAUGAGGAUCUGGAUGGGGGCCCUUCAUUUCUGUCUUCUUUGAUUACUUUUCUCUAAUUUUUUUUUACAUUUUUGCAAAUUAUUCUCUUUUCUUUAUGUUAUAGCAACCAUUAAUUCUCUAUUCUUUAUUUUUUCCUAUUUUUUUUUCCAUUUAUUCUGGACAUUUCACUCAUUAUGCAUUAUUACAACCAGUCGUAUUAGUCUUGGAUAAGAUUGGUUGGAUCCAAAGCAAGGGUUC